rnacentral:rRNA from 1 species
UACGGGGGGGGGCAAGCGUUGUUCGGAAUUACUGGGCGUAAAGGGCCAGUAGGCGGCCAACUAAGUCGGAUGUGAAAUCCCCAGGCUCAACUUGGGAACUGCAUCCGAUACUGGAUGGCUUGAAUUCGGGAGAGGGAUGCAGAAUUCCAGGUGUAGCGGUGAAAUGCGUAGAUAUCUGGAGGAAUACCGGUGGCGAAGGCGGCAUCCUGGACCGACAUUGACGCCUGAACGGCGAAAGCUAGGGGAGCAAACGGG